CUGUGUGUUGUUGGGUAGGGGAGCGUUCUGUAAGCCUGUGAAGGUGUGCUGUGAGGCAUGCUGGAGGUAUCAGAAGUGCGAAUGCUGACAUAAGUAACGAUAAAGCGGGUGAAAAGCCCGCUCGCCGGAAGACCAAGGGUUCCUGUCCAACGUUAAUCGGGGCAGGGUGAGUCGACCCCUAAGGCGAGGCCGAAAGGCGUAGUCGAUGGGAAACAGGUUAAUAUUCCUGUACUUGGUGUUACUGCGAAGGGGGGACGGAGAAGGCUAUGUUGGCCGGGCGACGGUUGUCCCGGUUUAAGCGUGUAGGCUGGUUUUCCAGGCAAAUCCGGAAAAUCAAGGCUGAGGCGUGAUGACGAGGCACUACGGUGCUGAAGCAACAAAUGCCCUGCUUCCAGGAAAAUCCUCUAAGCAUCAGGUAACAUCAAAUCGUACCCCAAACCGACACAGGUGGUCAGGUAGAGAAUACCAAGGCGCUUGAGAGAACUCGGGUGAAGGAACUAGGCAAAAUGGUGCCGUAACUUCGGGAGAAGGCACGCUGAUAUGUAGGUGAAGCGACUUGCUCGUGGAGCUGAAAUCAGUCGAAGAUAC
rnacentral:rRNA from 1 species